UAACCUGCCCAAGAGAUCGGGAUAACACCUGGAAACAGAUGCUAAUACCGGAUAACAACAGAUGAUGCCUAUCAACUGUUUAAAAGAUGGUUCUGCUAUCACUCUUGGAUGGACCUGCGGUGCAUUAGCUAGUUGGUAGGGUAACGGCCUACCAAGGCGAUGAUGCAUAGCCGAGUUGAGANACUGAUCGGCCACAUUGGGACUGAGGCACGGCCCAAACUCCUACGGGAGGCAGCAGCC
rnacentral:rRNA from 1 species